rnacentral:rRNA from 1 species
AGAGUUUUGAUCCUGGCUCAGGAUGAACGGCUGGCGGCGUGCCUAAUACAUGCAAGUCGUGCGAGAUCUUCGGAUCUAGCGGCGAACGGGUGAGUAACACGUGGGCAACCUGCCCCUAAGACUGGGAUAACUCCGAGAAAUCGGAGCUAAUACCGGAUAACCUUUUUCCACGCAUGUGGAAAAAGUAAAAGGCUUUGUGCCACUUAGGGAUGGGCCCGCGGCGCAUUAGCUAGUUGGUGAGGUAACGGCUCACCAAGGCGACGAUGCGUAGCCGACCUGAGAGGGUGAUCGGCCACACUGGGACUGAGACACGGCCCAGACUCCUACGGGAGGCAGCAGUAGGGAAUUUUCCGCAAUGGGCGAAAGCCUGACGGAGCAACGCCGCGUGAGUGAAGACGGCCUUCGGGUUGUAAAACUCUGUUCUUGGGGAAGAAGAAAGUGACGGUACCCAAGGAGAAAGCCCCGGCUAACUACGUG